AGAAGGCAGAGCUGGAAGGGAAAAGGGACCCAUGAGGGGGCUCGGCCCCUCCCUCCUGGCAGCUCCCAGCCCCCCUCCUUGGAAAUGCCCCGAGGCCGGAGCAGGUGCCUAGUGGGUGAGCCACUGGGUUCUGGGUGCGCUGUUAAAGGGGGGCCUGGCUGUGCCCCCCAGCAGUACGGGUAGUUCCGGGAGGAGGGGGAAGGGCCUGGGCUGCGGCUGGUGUGGGCGCCGGAGGCUCUGCUGCGGUGCAGAGGGAAAAGCCCCAGAAAUGUGAGGGUGGCAAGGGAGGAAGAAGCGGGUUGGUGGGGGAGCCUCAGGGGCAGUCACGUGAGAACAGGGAUUUGGGGAGCAGGAGACGGAUGGGGCGAGGGAGGGGGAGUGAACGCGAGAGAAGAGGGAAGAGAGUUCAGGUGGGGGCGGGGCGGCCCCUUUCCAGAGCCCGCCCACAGGGACAGGGGCCUCACCUCCUCCGGGACGGGACAAGCUGUGCAGGAGCCCAGCGCCACGGGAGUCCGGGACGGGGAAGCCAAGAGCCCAGGAGUUCCACCAGCACCGCCCGAAGUUCCCCGUAGCCGCUCCCCAGGCAUCGUUCCUGCAGACCCAGUGGAGGGGAGGAGUCUCUGCGCGCCUGCGCACUCUGUACCCCAAUCUUUGACCGCUACUGGGGGCCCCGUUCCAGGCUGAGGGUCGAAGUGAUCCGAGAGAGGAGAAACGGCCUUCGUUUCUGACUCCGGAAAAUGGGGGCAAGGCUUCAUACAGUGUGGAGGGCCUAUCGGCCCCCCACUCGGGUCACCUCAGGAGCGCCCGAGCUCCGGCCGUCAUUCUGGUGGCCUAUUUUCGCUCCACGCUCCCCUACCCCCGCUGCCAUUGCCGCGCCUUUGCCUGUACACGUGCUUCCUCCAGGAGCACACACCUACUGCACCACUCGUGGACAGCUGGGGAAGGAAUGACCCCUGAGCUCCAAGCGGAAUCCCAGCCUUUGUUUGACCCUCUGUAGCCGUGCCCUGUGGCCUGGGACCCUCACCCCAACCUGACAGAGUUGGCUCCAUUGCCCCCUGAGCCUAGGGGCGGACUUGUGGUAGAUCUGCAUUCAGAUCCCUAACUCGCCCCUCAUGCCCCCCGCAGUGCAGAUUGCGGGGCUUUCUCAAAAGAACCAGAAGUGCCGCGGUCAGGGCCAGGAGGCAGGGUUAGGGUUUGUUUGGCCCCAGGAGAGAACCUCGGGGCGGGCCUGAGGCUUAUGCGCAUGCUCCAGUGGGCCUGCAUACUAAUUUACCUGCCCCUAAGACUAGGCGACCUCUUUGUGUUGCAUAGACCCGUACUGCUACCCGCCAGACGUUAAGGAAACUUAUUGUAGGCGUGUCUCCUAGAAGACGCGAGCCAAUGGGGAAGGGAGGGCGGGACUUCGCUGGGAGAGGGAAUAAAAAGAUUUGCUGCGAAA